rnacentral:lncRNA from 1 species
GCGGGCGUGCGCAGGGCGGGGUCGGUGUGGCGGCGCGGCCGGAAUUCGCGGACAAGGCGGCGGUUUGCCGGAGAUCGUGGGCGAGUGGCCGGAGGUAGGGGAUGACAGGUGGGCCCCACCUGUCAGUGAGAGAGAGAGAGAGAGAGAAGAGAAAGAUUAAAAGCGACCGUUGGAUCUGAGAUGAACGGCCGAGAUUACAAGAUACCCCUUCGGGGUUUUAAGUGAAAGCGUAUUUCUCCGAGAAUACGCUUUCCCGCGGAGAAAGCGUAUAUUCAGAAAAAAAGAAAAAGAAUAAAAGCAAAAAUAAUUUUCAGGAUCUAUAAUUCACCCGAAAAUCCAUUUAAAUCAUUUAAAAUAUCAAAUGGCUUCAAAAAAUUCCCAAAAAUUGUGUGAAAGAAUAUAUUUCAUUUAGAGUCCAGGAAAAUUAUUCCCAGUAAAAAAUAGAAUAAUAAAAACAGUUUUAAUGUUUUUAAGCUUUAAAUAAAUCCAAAUAAAAUCCUAGAAUGCAUUUUUAAAUUCUAGAUAAUUCUGAAAUCAAUUUCUAUCAACCUAACACAUUCCAAAACACCAUUUCCAACACUUUCAAUAAUGCAUCAUAACGAACACCAAAAUUUUAAGAUAUGAUCAAGGUGAUAUGCAUAAGAAAUGAAAAGGAGCGAACAUCCGAAAUUGGAAAUUUGAAAGCGACCGUUGGAUCUGAGAUGAACGGCCGAGAUUAGAAGAUACCCUUUUGGGGUUUUAAGUGAAAGCGUAUUUCUCCGAGAAUACGCUUUCCCGCGGAGAAAGCGUACUUUCAGAAAAAAAGAAAAAGAAUAAAAGAAAAAAUACUUUUCAGGAUCUAUAAUUCACCCGAAAAUCCAUUUAAAUUAUUUAAAAUAUCAAAUGGCUUCAAAAAAUUCCCAAAAAUUCUGCAAAAUAAUAUAUUUCAUUUAGAGUCCAGGAAAAUUAUUCACAGUCAAAAAUAAAAUAAUAAAAACAGUUUUAAUGUUUUUAAGCUUUAAAUAAAUCUAAAUAAAAUCCUAGAAUGCAUUUUUAAAUUCUUGAUAACAGGGCUUGAGCUGGUUGUUUGCUCUUCUUGGCGUGAAACUUUCAUGCUUCACAGGUCUUGACUAGUUGCUCGUCAUCGGCUAAGGCCGUUGGCCAAUAGAAGCCAUGCCGGAAUGCUUUCCCAACUAGCGCCCCGGAGGCCACAUGGUGCGAGCAUGUGCCUCGAUGGAUAUCCUCCAGUUGCGUGCGCCCUUCCUCCCGGGGCACGCAUAGGAGCAUAACUCCGUUUGGACGCCUCCGGUAGAGAUCUCCAUCUAUCAGAGCGUACAUCUUCGCUUGCCGUGGUACUCGCUCUGCGGCAAUGUCUUCUUCCGGGAGGGUUCCAUCCUUGAGGUAACGAAUAAUAUCCGUGCCCCAUGGUGGCGGUACCCGACUCAAGCAUGCCACA